rnacentral:rRNA from 1 species
AUUGAACGCUGGCGGCAUGCCUUACACAUGCAAGUCGAACGGUAACGCGGGGCAACCUGGCGACGAGUGGCGAACGGGUGAGUAAUGCAUCGGAACGUGCCCGGUAGUGGGGGAUAACUGCUCGAAAGAGCAGCUAAUACCGCAUACGACCUGAGGGUGAAAGGGGGGGAUCGCAAGACCUCUCGCUAUCGGAGCGGCCGAUGGCGGAUUAGCUAGUUGGUGGGGUAAAGGCCCACCAAGGCAACGAUCCGUAGAUGGGCUGAGAGGACGACCAGCCACACUGGGACUGAGACACGGCCCAGACUCCUACGGGAGGCAGCAGUGGGGAAUUUUGGACAAUGGACGCAAGUCUGAUCCAGCCAUGCCGCGUGCGGGAAGAAGGCCUUCGGGUUGUAAACCGCUUUUGUCAGGGAAGAAAUCUUCUGGGUUAAUACCUCGGGAGGAUGACGGUACCUGAAGAAUAAGCACCGGCUAACUACGUGCCAGCAGCCGCGGUAACAC